rnacentral:rRNA from 1 species
AUUGAACGCUGGCGGCAGGCCUAACACAUGCAAGUCGAGCGGAGCGGCGGACGGGUGAGUAAUGCCUAGGUAUCUGCCUGGUAGUGGGGGAUCACGUCCGGCAACGGGCGCUAAUACCGCAUACUAUCAGAUGAGCCUAGGUCGGAUUAGCUAGUUGGUGGGGUAAAGGCCUACCAAGGCGACGAUCCGUAACUGGUCUGAGAGGAUGACCAGUCAGACUGGAACUGAGACACGGCCCAGACGCCAACGGGAGGCAGCAGUGGGGAAUAUUGGACAAUGGGCGGAAGACUGAUCCAGACAGGCCGCGUGUGUGAAGAAGGUCGUCGGAGUGUAAAGCACUGUAAGUUGGGAGGCGUUACCAACAGAAUAAGCACCGGCUAACUUCGUGCCAGCAGCCGCGGUAAUUC